GCCACAUGUGGCUAUUGAGCACUUGAAAUGGAAUUAGUGUGACUGGGGAACCAAAUUCUUAAUUAUAUUUAUUUUUCAUUAACUUAACUUUAAAUAGCCCACUAUGGGUAGUGGCUAUCAUAAUGGACAGUGCAGAUCUGUACAACAAGGAUGCAACGCAGCAGGGUGUUAGACACAAACGGCCCCUGCCCCCUGGGGACUUUACAUUUUAGUGUAGGAAAUCAGCAAGAAGGAAGAAAGUGAUUAGAUAAGGAAAAUAAGAGCUCUUCAGAAAAUAAAAUAGAGAGUUCCUGGAGCGUGGAGGGGCAACUUCAGCAAAGGCCAAGGCAAGGAGUUCGUAUUUUAUAUGGGAACACUAAUUUUAUGUGGGAACACUAACGCCAGGGAACACUGGAUGGCGUAAAGCAAGAAGGUAACUUGAUCAGUUUUUGUUGUUGUUUUUGAGACAGAGUAUCCCUCUGUUGCCCAGUCUGGAGUGCAGUUGUGUGAUCUCGGCUCACUGCAACCUCUGCCUCCCAGGUUCAAGCAGUUCUCCUGCCCCAGCCUCCCGA
rnacentral:lncRNA from 10 species